rnacentral:rRNA from 1 species
UUGAAAGGGAAACGAUUGAAGUCAGUCGUACCGACGAGAAAUCAGCUUAUCGUGUGUUAACUUGUGGGCGUGCGUGAGUUUCGGCCUCGCUGUUUGCAUGUUUGUGCGCUUUGGGUGUACUUUUUCGUAUGGUUGGCCAACAUCAGUUUCGAUCACCAUAAAAUGACUGGCGGAAUGUAGCUUCGAUUUCGGUUGAAGUGUUAUAGCCUCUGGUAGAUGUGGUGAUUGAGACUGAGGAUUGCAACGAAUAUCCUUUGGGCUAUCCGUCUGGCCUCUGAAAGUUGCUUGGGUGCUGAAAGCUUGCUUAUGGUUAUCUAAGUUAACGGUCAAUAGGUUAGAACGUGAUUACAUUCGUUAAGGAUGUUGACGUA